UAUAGCAUUUAUUUGUCCAUGAAAACCUCAGAAGUUUCCUUUCCAUGAGUGCACCUAAAUAGGAUAUGGUGUACAAGUCUCCUCCUUCCCUACCAAAUUAAAAAAAAAAGGAUGUAUCCCUCAUUUUUCUAACUCACUCAAUGAAAUUUUCUUUAAUAAAUGUAUCAGUCUAUAAACUUAUGUGUUAAUGGUCCGGUCCACGGUGUGGUGAUCCUAUAUAGUCCCUCAUGUGUAAUAAUAUUAUCGGUUCGGUG